rnacentral:rRNA from 1 species
GACGAACGCUGGCGGCGCGCUUAACACAUGCAAGUCGAGCGAGAACCAAACCUUCGGGUCUGGGGACAGCGGCGAACGGGUGAGUAACACGUGGGUAAUCUGCCCUCGGUUCUGGGAUAGCCCGGGGAAACCCGGAUUAAUACCGGAUGGCCUCUCGAGCUUUCGAGCUCGUGAGAAAAGGUAGCUUCGGCCUCCGACCGAGGAUGAGCCUGCGGCCGAUUAGCUUGGUUGGCGGGGUAACGGCCCACCAAGGCGACGAUCGGUAGCUGGUCUGAGAGGACGAUCAGCCACACUGGGAC